AUAAAUCUGCGCCUUCGGGCGCAGAGAAACUUUCUUUAAAUUUAUUUAUCUCAGUAUGUUAAGAUAUUAUUACAAUUACGAAUUUAAAAUUAUGAAUUACGAAUUGUAAAUGUUGUCCAAAGCAACAUAACCUCUUAAGGUGGUUAUUGCGUCGGGGCUCACCUCUUCCCAUUCCGAACAGAGAAGUUAAGCCCGAUUGCGCAGAUGGUACUGCAGUUAUGUGGGAGAGUAUGUCGCCGCCUUUC
rnacentral:rRNA from 1 species